rnacentral:rRNA from 1 species
AGCUAGAGUUUGAUCCUGGCUCAGGAUGAACGCUGGCGGCGUGCUUAACACAUGCAAGUCGAGCGAAGCGAUUUAGCGGAAGUUUUCGGAUGGAAGUUAGAUUGACUGAGCGGCGGACGGGUGAGUAACGCGUGGGUAACCUGCCUCAUACAGGGGGAUAACAGUUAGAAAUGGCUGCUAAUACCGCAUAAGCGCACGGGGACGCAUGUUCUUGUGUGAAAAGCCGAGACGGUAUGAGAUGGACCCGCGUCUGAUUAGCUAGUUGGUGAGGUAACGGCCCACCAAGGCGACGAUCAGUAGCCGACCUGAGAGGGUGACCGGCCACAUUGGGACUGAGACACGGCCCAAACUCCUACGGGAGGCAGCAGUGGGGAAUAUUGCACAAUGGGGGAAACCCUGAUGCAGCAACGCCGCGUGAAGGAAGAAGGUUUUCGGAUUGUAAACUUCUAUCAAUAGGGAAGAAAGAAAUGACGGUACCUAAAUAAGAAGCCCCGGCUAACUACGUGCCAGCAGCCGCGGUAA